UACGAGGGCCCCAAGCGUUAUCCGGAAUUAUUGGGCGUAAAGGGUCCGUAGGCGGUACGCAUUGUCGCGGGUUAAAGCCCUCGGCUCAACCGAGGAAGUGCUCGCGAAACGUGCGUACUCGAGGAUGUGAGAGGCAAGCGGAACUCACGGUGUAGGGGUGAAAUCCGUUGAUAUCGUGGGGAACACCAAAGGCGAAGGCAGCUUGCUGGCGCAUUCCUGACGCUGAGGGACGAAAGCGUGGGGAGCGAAUGGG
rnacentral:misc_RNA from 1 species